UACGGGGGGGGCAAGCGUUGUUCGGAAUUACUGGGCGUAAAGGGCUCGUAGGCGGCCAACUAAGUCGGAUGUGAAAUCCCUCGGCUUAACCGGGGAACUGCGUCUGAUACUGGAUGGCUAGAGGUUGGGAGAGGGAUGCGGAAUUCCAGGUGUAGCGGUGAAAUGCGUAGAUAUCAGGAGGAACACCGAUGGCGAAGGCAGGUCUCUGGGCCAUAACUGACGCUGAGAAGCGAAAGCAUGGGGAGCGAACAGG
rnacentral:rRNA from 1 species